rnacentral:rRNA from 1 species
GGGCAAGCGUUAUCCGGAUUUACUGGGUGUAAAGGGAGCGUAGACGGCGCGGCAAGUCUGAAGUGAAAGGCAGGGGCUUAACCCCUGAACUGCUUUGGAAACUGCCAUGCUAGAGUGCUGGAGAGGUAAGUGGAAUUCCUAGUGUAGCGGUGAAAUGCGUAGAUAUUAGGAGGAACACCAGUGGCGAAGGCGGCUUACUGGACAGUAACUGACGUUGAGGCUCGAAAGCGUGGGGAGCA